rnacentral:lncRNA from 1 species
AGUGAGUGAUUCUGAACUGGGCUGCCAUAAAGAAGAAGGCAGAGACCUACCUGCCUGUUGCUUCUGUCUCCCUCCAGCUGUUGGGAGGUCAGUGUGCCUGGGCUGGCUGCUUUUGGAAAGUCCUUUCUUUAUCUCUUUCCCACUUGGCAGCUCUCCUUAGUUCUGGGACAUUUGCCACCAUGGUACUGCCAGGAAGGAAUCUGGCCUUGUCCUGUUCCAUUUCUCUUUGUUUCCAAGAGGGAGCUCCGCUUCCACCUGCUGUGUGACAUCACCCACUGUGGGAUCCCUGCAUGAGAGUUGGAAAUCACACUGUCAGAUGGUCACACCUCCAGCUACAAGAGGUUCAAGUUCUUCCUGGGUUAUAAGAUGGCAAACCAUCCACAUAGAGACCCAAGUUAACUUGUGAGUGAGCUGUCUUCAAGGAGCUUACAAGUCUUGAAUGUUCAGACAGGAGCUUAGCAUGCUGGCUUCUGAAGUGCUUCAUCCAGCAGCUGACUCAGACAGAUGAAGACACCAACAGCCAAACGUUGGAUGGAACAUGGGGACUCUUAUGGAAGAAGACUAGGAAGAAGGAUUGUGGGCUCCUGAGGGAAUAGGAACUCCUCAGGAAGACCAACACAGUCAACUAACCCUUGGGGCUCUCUGAGACUGAGUCACCAACCAAAGAACAUACAUGGGCUGAACCUAGUCCUCCAGCACAUAUGUAUCAGGUGUGCAGCUUGGUCUUCAUGUGGUUCCUGAACAACUGGAGCAGGGGGCUAUCCCAAAAGCUAUUGCCAGUAUGUGGAAUAUGUUCUUCUAGUUGGGCUGCCUUGUCUCUCCUCAGUGGGAGUGGGUGUGCCUAACCUGGCAGAGACUUAAAGUACCAGGUGAGGUGACACCCAAGGGAGGCCAGACUCUCUCAGAGGAGAAGUGAAAGAACACAUGAUGAAGGAUUCUUCCCUAACAACAUGCAUGCAUUGGUCCACCUUACAUUAUGUAGUUGAGUUCCAUUUGUUGGGACUCCUUAGAUAUAAAAGCAUCAAAAACUUCUGGUGGUGUGCCAUGGCUUCUUGCUGCUUCUGGGCACUUGGGCUGAUUGGCAGAGUGAUGAUAGGUGACACACACAUGUGUUGUGGCAAGACAUGUGGUGAGGCAAGACCAGUGGAGGACAUGUGAUAUUUGGAGAGAGUAUAAGAAGAACUCGAAAGACAGUGACAGAAGCUGAUCUUGGGUUGCUUGCAGAUCAAAGCUUGUUGGGGUUGAGACUUGGCUGAUCUUCAGUUGGCUGAGAGAUGGGCAGCCCAGAACUUUUCCUGGUGUUCCUGUUGGCUCUUGGUCCCUCUUGCUGACUCAUGCAGAGGCUGUCUCUGCAUGGUAGUGCUACUCAUGCCUCUGGCUGUCUCUGCUAGGUAGUGCUACUGCUGCUGAUUUGUGGUUUGCUAUCCCAACUCUUUGGAACUGGACUGCUGGUGUAUCCGUGAAGUGUUUGCGAGUGGAUUGAACUGCUGCUGACCUGUGAACUGAGUUGCUGAAUUCCAGACAACACAGAUGAAGUGAGGGCUGUCUCAGAUUCUGUUGCCUGCCAUUGGAUCCCCUUUGUCUAGCUAGACUCAUCGGUUGGAUGAUGAGUCCAGGGUUGGGAUGUACCCAAGGUGUGUGUGUGUUUCCCUUUCUCUGAGGAGAUGGGAAGGCAUAAUGUGGGGGAGGGACUUGUGAGGGUAGACCUGUGAGGGGGGGGGCUGCACCUGGGAUAUAAAGUGAAUAAAAAAAUAAGGGGAAUAAUGUAAAAUCAAUAACAAAUAUUCUAACUUCAAGAAGAGAGUUGUAACAACCGUUUUCCUCCUAGCCAUACUCAAAAUAAUAACUCCAAAAGAGAAGCAGUGCAAACAGCUGAAUUUAGCAUAAUUGGAUGAUAUGACUUUCACCUUAUUGGAGUGGAGUGAAAACACCAAGAUUGAUGCAAAUUUACUGCCAAGUUAACAUAAAAAUCCUCAUAGUGAAAAGGUAACAAACCGCCCCGAAGCAUCGCUUUAGUGAGAAUGCUGACAGGCUUCAUGAGCACAGUCCAUCUGAGACUAAUUUGAGACUCUCUUCUGAAGAAGAAAUCUGGAAAUCCAUUGAAAUCUUAUCCUUCCAUUAUGAAAGAAAAUGAUGGAGGUUUAAACAUGUGUAAUGCCAGUUAUAAAAUAAAAUUCAUGCUGCUAUUGAC